CAGGACGAACGCUGGCGGCGUGCUUAACACAUGCAAGUCGAACGGAAAGGCCUCUUCGGAGGUACUCGAGUGGCGAACGGGUGAGUAACACGUGGGCAAUCUGCCCUGCACUUCGGGAUAAGCCUGGGAAACUGGGUCUAAUACCGGAUAGGACCUCAAGACGCAUGUCUUCUGGUGGAAAGCUUUUGCGGUGUGGGAUGGGCCCGCGGCCUAUCAGCUUGUUGGUGGGGUGACGGCCUACCAAGGCGACGACGGGUAGCCGACCUGAGAGGGUGUCCGGCCACACUGGGACUGAGAUACGGCCCAGACUCCUACGGGAGGCAGCAGAAGGG
rnacentral:rRNA from 1 species